CACGGUCUCCUUCCACGGUCUCCCUCUGAUGCCGAGCCAAAGCUGGACGGUACUGCUGCCAUCUCGGCUCACUGCAACCUCCCUGCCUGAUUCUCCUGCCUCAGCCUGCCGAGUGCCUGCGAUUGCAGGCGCGCGCCGCCACGCCUGACUGGUUUUCGUUUUUUUUUUUGGUGGAGACGGGGUUUUGCUGUGUUGGCCGGGCUGGUCUCCAGCUCCUAACCGCGAGUGAUCCGCCAGCCUCGGCCUCCCGAGGUGCCGGGAUUGCAGACGGAGUCUCGUUCACUCAGUGCUCAAUGGUGCCCAGGCUGGAGUGCAGUGGCGUGAUCUCAGCUCGCUACAACCUCCACCUCCCAGCCGCCUGCCUUGGCCCCCCAAAGUGCCGAGAUUGCAGCCUCUGCCCAGCCGCCACCCCGUCUGGGAAGUGAGGAGCGUCUCUGCCUGGCCCCCCAUCGUCUGGGAUAUGAGGAGCCUCUCUGCCUGGCUGCCCAGUCUGGAAAGUGAGGAGCGUCUCUGCCCGGCCGCCAUCCCAUCUAGGAAGCGAGGAGCGCCUCUUCCCCGCCGCCAUCCCAUCUAGGAAGUGAGGAGCGUCUCUGCCCGGCCGCCCAUCGUCUGAGAUGUGGGGAGCACCUCUGCCCCGCCGCCCUGUCUGGGAUGUGAGGAGCGCCUCUGCUGGGCCGCAACCCUGUCUGGGAGGUGAGGAGCGUCUCUGCCCGGCCGCCCCGUCUGAGAAGUGAGGAAACCCUCUGCCUGGCAACCGCCCCGUCUGAGAAGUGAGGAGCCCCUCCGUCCGGCAGCCACCCCGUCUGGGAAGUGAGGAGCGUCUCCGCCCGGCAGCCACCCCGUCCGGGAGGGAGGUGGGGGGGGGUCAGCCCCCCGCCCGGCCAGCCGCCCCGUCCGGGAGGUGAGGGGCUCCUCGGCCCGGCCGCCCCUACUGGGAAGUGAGGAGCCCCUCUGCCCGGCCAGCCGCCCCGUCCGGGAGGGAGGUGGGGGGUCAGCCCCCCGCCCGGCCGGCCGCCCCGUCCGGGAGGUGAGGGGCGCCUCUGCCCGGCCGCCCCUACUGGGAAGUGAGGAGCCCCUCUGCCCGGCCAGCCGCCCCGUCCGGGAGGGAGG
rnacentral:lncRNA from 1 species